rnacentral:rRNA from 1 species
AGAGUUUCCUUCUGGCUCAGGAUGAACGCUGGCGGCGUGCUUAACACAUGCAAGUCGAACGGGAUCCAUCAGGCUUUGCUUGGUGGUGAGAGUGGCGAACGGGUGAGUAAUGCGUGACCGACCUGCCCCAUACACCGGAAUAGCUCCUGGAAACGGGUGGUAAUGCCGGAUGCUCCAGUUGAUCGCAUGGUCUUCUGGGAAAGCUUUCGCGGUAUGGGAUGGGGUCGCGUCCUAUCAGCUUGACGGCGGGGUAACGGCCCACCGUGGCUUCGACGGGUAGCCGGCCUGAGAGGGCGACCGGCCACAUUGGGACUGAGAUACGGCCCAGACUCCUACGGGAGGCAGCAGUGGGGAAUAUUGCACAAUGGGCGCAAGCCUGAUGCAGCGACGCCGCGUGAGGGAUGGAGGCCUUCGGGUUGUAAACCUCUUUUAUCGGGGAGCAAGCGAGAGUGAGUUUACCCGUUGAAUAAGCACCGGCUAACUACGUGCCAGCAGCCGCGGUAAUACGUAGGGUGCAAGCGUUAUCCGGAAUUAUUGGGCGUAAAGGGCUCGUAGGCGGUUCGUCGCGUCCGGUGUGAAAGUCCAUCGCUUAACGGUGGAUCCGCGCCGGGUACGGGCGGGCUUGAGUGCGGUAGGGGAGACUGGAAUUCCCGGUGUAACGGUGGAAUGUGUAGAUAUCGGGAAGAACACCACUGGCGAAGGCAGGUCUCUGGGCCGUUACUGACGCUGAGGAGCGAAAGCGUGGGGAGCGAACAA